CUAUGAUGAAACCUAAACUUAAAUAGCUGGAAUUACCGUCAGAUGGAUCAGUGGCGAUGAUCGGUUUUCUGAUU